rnacentral:lncRNA from 1 species
UUUUUUUCUAAAAUAACAGCUGCUUGGUGGUCACCUUGAGCCUCAAGAAGGGUUAUUAAGAUUAUAUGUUAUAUAAUUUCACUAUUAUUUUAUCACUCAGCUUCACAAGUGGUAUUUAAAGUUAAGAGCAAUUUUAAAUCUUCUUAUGUUAAUAAAAAAGAAGACACGUUUUGAAAAUCAGCCGUUAAUUUCCUUUGGUGUGAAAUUAUAAUAACCAUGCUAUUGCAAUAAUAUUGUUUUAUUACGUUAUUACUAGUAGUGAAAGUACAUACUUUUAGAGAAUUCAUCUUUUUUGUAUAGUCUUAAAAUUUUGCAAUAUCAUAUUUCAAUAAUAUAUUUGGAUCAUACAGAGAAACAUCCUCCAAAACUCACCAUGGGCAUUUAAAAUAUGAGGAUUUAAAACCAAAACUCCCAAGAUUGAGAGGAGUUUACCGUAUUUUGCUUCUGCUACUUUUUCUAAAAACAAAAUUAGGGAGACAGAAGAGUUUAUCUCCAAAUGUUUGGAUUAAGAAAUAUUAUGCUACACUGUCAUCAGGUGAUACAUUCUGGAAUCUGGUUUAAAAGGGCUAGUAUUUCUAUAUGCUACUUGUAUGUAUAGGCAGUGAUUUAAAAAAAAGUUAUUCUUAAGUGAGCUGCUGGUAAAUUCAAUACAGUUUAUGACAUGAAAUUUAUCAAGUAAUUUUCCUAUAGCAGACAAAUAUUCUUUAAGUACAAAAAUUCGAAAGGAGUUAGAAAGGUGAAUGGAGGGAAUAUAAGGGCACAUUAAAAAAUGGGAAUUUUAUUUUAAAAUAUUAUUUUAAAGUGUGAAAAAAAGUUUGCAUCUAGCUUAAAUGACCUAAUUUUAUUUUUAUAUUUAUAUCUACAAGUCAUUAUCAACUAAUAUAUAUUGCCUAAUACUGGGUCAGUAGCACUUUUUUCUAAAGCCCACCUACUUUGCCAAGAUUAUAUCCUUUAUUAAUUAUUUAAUUAUUUGACUAAAUUCAUUUAUAGAACCAAUGGAGAAAGAGAAAACAUUUAUGGUUCAUUUAUCUUUUUUUCUAAGGUUUUAUUUAUUUAUUUGAAAGAGAGAGAGAGAGAGAGCACGAGCAGGGAAUGGGCAGAGGGAGAGAGAGAAGUAGACUCCUCAACCCAGCGGGGCCAAUACUAGAACUCAGGGAUCAUGACCUGACCCAAAGCCAGAUGCUUUACUGACUGAGCCACCCAGAUGCCCCACUUAUGUUUCAUUUCUUAAGAAAUUAUAAUAAAGAAGAGGCAGACAUAUAAGUAAUUAUCAAAAGAGUGAUGAAUAUUAAUGAGAUAUGCAAUUAAUCAGGUAUGUUCUUAUUGUAUUUCCUCUUAAUCUAGUUGAAGUUAAGACUAACAUGAAGAAAUUACCUGAGACUAUGUAAGAGUGAAACCAUAUUUUAAUAAAAGAAAAAUAUGCUAAGAAGUUUCUUUCCUUUCCUUUUCCCUUUUCCCUUUUCUUCCUUCCUUUCUUCCUUUUCUUCUUUGGAAGGCCAUAAAUUUUGGAAUCUCUCAGACCACAGUUUGAAUCCUGGCUCUCAUAUUUACUUGCUAUACAAUCAUGUAAUUUGUUCAUAUACGAAAUAAUCAUAAUAUCACAGAAGGCUGUUUGUAAGACUAAAUAAGAUAACAUGUAAAUUCUAGAACUGUGAUCCAUAAAUAUCUGCCCCCUCUCCUGUGGCUAUAAAUACAAUUAUAUGUAAACAUAUAAAUACAAUUAUAUGUAAAUACAAUUAUAUGUAAACAAAGAGGAGAUGGAGAUGCAAAGAUAAUGAACUAUCAAAAAUAUCUUUAUAAAUAGAUAACAUUUGGAUUUUUUUGUAGCAGAAGUAGGCUUUUGAUUAAUAAAAAUGAACACAUGAUUACUACACCUCAUGGAGUAAAACAUUUAGAUGACCCUAGAACAGAAUGUAGAAUUAAGCAAGCUUCAAAUGUAGUGGGAGACAUGGGAUUCCAGGUUGAGAAAGGGUAAAAAAAAUAGUUAAAAGCUAGCAAAGGACUUUCUGCCAGCUACUGGGGCAGUAAGAGAUUGUUUUAGAUUCUUGAAAAAGGGAAUGAUAAAGAGGAAAUUAUAGGGUAAGAUGUAUGUGAAGCAGGACCUACUAGGAGACUGCAAUGGUGGUCUGUGACUAAAGUAAAGCAGACC